CCAAUUUAAUCGGGGGACUUCGGUCCCUGUCUGAACCCUUGUCUUUUGCGUACUAGUUGUUUCCUCGGUAGGCUUGCCUGCCGGUUGGACAGUAUCAAACCUUUUGUAAUUGCAAUCAGCGUCAGAAAAAACAUAAUAGUUA
rnacentral:misc_RNA from 1 species